CCCAAAUCCUGUAUUCCCAUAGAAAAGGAAUACCCUUUUCCACUAAGUUGAUUAAAACGUGGCGCGUAUGGGUUUGGUUUUGGUGUACGUGCCAUAGGUAAGCUAUAACUACCGUCGCGAGAAAGAAAAGGCAGGUGUGGGGGUAGCGUUCGACCAGCCAUUGGAGAAAUCCCCAUAUGUUGGGAUUCCCCACCAUGUCCGGAUUCAAGAAUUUUUUUUCCAUAGCGAAUUCGUUUUUAUGAGUUCCGCUUUUUUUCUUGCGGAAGAAAGACUUUUUUUUAAAUUGCAGGUUGGCUUUGUUUACCAACCAAGAAAUACAUGGG
rnacentral:misc_RNA from 1 species